rnacentral:rRNA from 1 species
GAAAGCGCCGGCUAACUACGUGCCAGCAGCCGCGGUAAUACGUAGGGCGCAAGCGUUAUCUGAAAUUAUUGGGCGUAAAGAGCUCGUAGGCGGUUUGUCGCGUCUGCUGUGAAAUCCCGAGGCUCAACUUCGGGUCUGCAGUGGGUACGGGCAGACUAGAGUGCGGUAGGGGAGAUUGGAAUUCCUGGUGUAGCGGUGGAAUGCGCAGAUAUCAGGAGGAACACCGAUGGCGAAGGCAGAUCUCUGGGCCGUAACUGACGCUGAGGAGCGAAAGGGUGGGGAGCAAACAGGCUUAGAUACCCUGGUAGUCCACCCCGUAAACGUUGGGAACUAGUUGUGGGGUCCAUUCCACGGAUUCCGUGACGCAGCUAACGCAUUAAGUUCCCCGCCUGGGGAGUACGGCCGCAAGGCUAAAACUCAAAGGAAUUGACGGGGACCCGCACAAGCGGCGGAGCAUGCGGAUUAAUUCGAUGCAACGCGAAGAACCUUACCAAGGCUUGACAUAUACGAGAACGCUGCAGAAAUGUAGAACUCUUUGGACACUCGUAAACAGGUGGUGCAUGGUUGUCGUCAGCUCGUGUCGUGAGAUGUUGGGUUAAGUCCCGCAACGAGCGCAACCCUCGUUCUAUGUUGCCAGCACGUAAUGGUGGGAACUCAUGGGAUACUGCCGGGGUCAACUCGGAGGAAGGUGGGGAUGACGUCAAAUCAUCAUGCCCCUUAUGUCUUGGGCUUCACGCAUGCUACAAUGGCCGGUACAAAGGGCUGCAAUACCGUGAGGUGGAGCGAAUCCCAAAAAGCCGGUCCCAGUUCGGAUUGAGGUCUGCAACUCGACCUCAUGAAGUCGGAGUCGCUAGUAAUCGCAGAUCAGCAACGCUGCGGUGAAUACGUUCCCGGGUCUUGUACACACCGCCCGUCAAGUCAUGAAAGUCGGUAACACCUGAAGCCGGUGGCCCAACCCUUGUGGAGGAGCCUCAAGUGUCU